UUUUGUUUGUGUCGACUUUUAAUGAAAAGUGUUUUACAAACAGUUAACAAGAAAAUAAAGCUAAUUGUAGUUUGGUUAAAGUUGAAUAGUCAAGGCUUUGCAUUUUUCUUUUUAAACGCCAAAUUGGUGUGAAAAUAUUGUCUUUCUGGACUCUUUGUGAAUGCAAUGUGUGUACUAGUUUGUGGGAGUACUACUACAUAUGUAAAAAGAGAGGUGUAAAUAUUUUUUUGGCUCAAAGAAGGCUGCAUGUAAGCUACGUGUGACAACAUGGAGUUAAAAAGAUAAAUUGUUACCCUUUAAAUUUUGAAUGUCAAAUCUAUUUAGAAGUUUGAUUGUAGGUACCUCGUUCACGUCUUGGUUACAUUCCACCUAGUGUUUACUAAUUAUUGUCCUUUUUAUAAAUUUUCUUCUUAAAAAUUCAGGUAUCUGCCACUGCAGCUGACGUUGAGACAACUCUCAGUCUUCCUGCAAGUCCUCGCCUGAUACCUGUUUCAAGUGCAACAAGGCAAGUCACAAUUAAAGGUUGGAUGAUCACCUUUAAGGGCUCUGAGGGCAUCACACCAACAUUUGCAAUUGGACUUGCUGCUAUGUUUGCAACCUACUACAUUUUCAGCCUUCAGUAUCAAGAUGAGACAGCCUGCCCUCUGGAAUUCAUUCAGAGGCACUUCAUUGAUAUAAAUCAAGAGAGAGGAACAAAUGCCAAAAUCAUCAGACAAGAUUGUCUCUAAGAAGAAAGGUGUGAUCGUCCAGAAGUCGUCUUCUGCAGUUAAAUACACACGUGGCCAUGCUACUGAAGAAUCUCCUUGACUUUUUAAUGGAACUUCAUAUAGAUCGUGGCAGCACUGGAAUAAUGCUGCAGAGAGGAACAGCGGCUACUAAAGUGAUGAUCGUCUCUUCUGGAUCCACAAGAACUAAGAUGUAAAAACACAAACCUACCUCACAGGACAAUUUUAAGAGGUAACCUGCAAGUCUAGCUUGCAGUGGCACAUGUGCCUAUACGGUUUCAUCCUAAAUGUUUUUUUAUGCUUAUUAUUGAUACAU